CAGCAGCCGCGGGAAUACGUAGGGGGCAAGCGUUGUCCGGAAUUAUUGGGCGUAAAGCGCGCGCAGGCGGUUUUUUAAGUCUGGUGUCUAAGUGCGGGGCUCAACCCCGUGACGCACUGGAAACUGGGAGACUUGAGUGCAGAAGAGGAGAGCGGAAUUCCACGUGUAGCGGUGAAAUGCGUAGAGAUGUGGAGGAACACCAGUGGCGAAGGCGGCUCUCUGGACUGUAACUGACGCUGAGGCGCGAAAGCGUGGGGAGCAAACAGGAUUAGAUACCCCAGUAGUCCCUGUCUCUUAUACA
rnacentral:rRNA from 1 species